GGUCACGUGUCCGAGUGGUUAGGAAACGGUCUGCAAAACCGUCUACACCGGUUCGAAUCCGGUCGUGACCU
rnacentral:tRNA from 1 species